rnacentral:tRNA from 1 species
GCACCUGGAGCUCAGUGGAUAAAGCGUUUGUUUCCUAAGCAGAGGUCGUUGGUUCGACCCCUGUAUAGCGCG